UCGAGUCUUUGAACGCAAGUUGCGCCCGAGGCCAGCCGGCCGAGGGCACGUCCGCCUGGGCGUCAAGCAUCGCGUCGCUCCGUGCCAGUUCCGUCCCGCCAAUGGGCGUGCCGGUCGUGGCGCGGAUGCGUAGAGUGGCUCGCCGUGCCCCCGUGCGCG
rnacentral:rRNA from 1 species